rnacentral:RNase_P_RNA from 1 species
AAGACGGGUUGGACGAUCGCGGUGGGUGCGAGCUCAUCGAGGAAGGUCCGGACUCCAUAGGGCAGGGUAACGGCUAACGGCCGUCCGGUCGCGCUCUCGGGCACGGCUGAGGAAUAGGACCACAGAGACGAGACUGCGGCGCGGGCGCGCUUUGCGCGCACUGAUACGGCCAUCUCCGUAUUGCGCCGACCGGCAACGGGCGGCGGCAUCGCAGGGUGAAACGCGGCAACCUCUAUCCGGAGCAACAUCAAAUAGGCAUGCGUGCGGCCUCACGGCCGUGACGGGCGGCUCCGUCCGAGCAUGCGGGUAGAUGGCUACAGCGGCUCAGCAAUGAUCCGCGCAGAGGAAUGAUCGUCCGCCAGGGCAACCUGGCGUACAGAAUCCGGCCUAUAGACCCGUCUUGCAU